rnacentral:rRNA from 1 species
GAUGAACGCUGGCGGCGUGCCUAAUACAUGCAAGUCGAGCGAACGGACGAGAAGCUUGCUUCUCUGAUGUUAGCGGCGGACGGGUGAGUAACACGUGGAUAACCUACCUAUAAGACUGGGAUAACUUCGGGAAACCGGAGCUAAUACCGGAUAAUAUUUUGAACCGCAUGGGUCAAAAGUGAAAGACGGUCUUGCUGUCACUUAUAGAUGGAUCCGCGCUGCAUUAGCUAGUUGUUAAGGUAACGGCUUACCAAGGCAACGAUGCAUAGCCGACCUGAGAGGGUGAUCGGCCACACGGGAACUGAGACACGGUCCAGACUCCUACGGGAAGCAGCAGUAGGGAAUCUUCCGCAAUGGGCGAAAGCCUGACGGAGCAACGCCGCGUGAGUGAUGAAGGUCUUCGGAUCGUAAAACUCUGUUAGUAGGGAAGAACAUAUGUGUAAGUAACUGUGCACAUCUUGACGGUACCUAAUCAGGAAGCCACGGCUAACUACGUG